GGGAUCUUAACAUCACUUAGGAGAGAAAGAGAGGGGGGGUGCAGAUAGAGGGAUGAUGGAGGGAUCUUAACAUCACUUAGGAGAGAAAGAGAGAGGGGGUGCAGAUAGAGUGAUGAUGGAGGAUCAAAAUGGCAGUCAGGAGAAAGAGGGAAAGGCACCUGAGUUAGACAGGGUCCUGGGAAGGGUGCCAUGUGGUCUGAGGGAGGAGGGGGGCCAGCCUGAGCCUGAUCUGAUCCCACAGGCAACACCUAAUAAACAGAGGGAUGAAGAGAGGGAUGAAACAGAGAGAAGAGGAGAGAUAGGAGAACAUAAUGCACUGCAGCCACAUGCAGCUGGAAGGACAGGGGAUUCUACCUGCUGCUCUCUGACACUGACUGGGACAUUAGACAAUAAACAAAGACUGUAGUGUUACUUAAGAAAUAAGGCCCGAGGAGGUGUGGUAUAUGGCCAAUAUACCAAGCGUAAGAACUAUUCUUAUGCACGAUGCAACGUGGAGUGCCUGGAUACAGCCGUUAGCCAUGGUAUAUUGGCCAUAUAGCACCUUUGGGCUCCUGAGUGGCGCAGCGGUCAAAGGCACUGCAUCUCAGCGCUUGAGGCGUCACUACAGACGCCCUGGUUCGAUUCCAGGCUGUACCACAAAUGGUCGUGAUUGGGAGUCCCAUAGGGUGGCGCACAAUUGGCCCAGCGUCGUCCAGGUUUGGCCGGUGUAGGCCGUCAUUGUAAAUAAGAAUUUGUUCUUAACUGACUUGCCUAGUUCAAUAAAGGUUAAAUAAAUACUAAUGUACCACGAACCUCCAGGGUGCCUAAUUGCUAUUAUAAACUGGGUGGGUCGAGCCCUGAAUGCUGAUUGGCUGACAGCCGUGGUAUAUCAGACCGUAUAACACGGGUAUGACAAAACAUUUUUACUCCUCUAAUUACAUUGGUAACUGGUUUAUAAUAGCAGUAAGGCACGCUGGGGGUUAUCAUGGCAAAG
ensembl:lncRNA